CAGUUGGCCUUUCAGCAGCAUUUGACAGGGGAAACUGCAGAUGAAAAGGCUCUGAGAUGGGGGACAAUCUUGGUGAAUUCAAGAAACAGAAAAAAAAAAUGUUGGUGUAAUUAGAACACAGAGCUGCGAAGGCAGUGGUCUGUGAGGGCCAAAUCACAUUAUGGCACCUUUCAACUGGAAUGAAGCUUCAGACCAGCUGCAAACCACACAAACAAAGUCAGACUGCAGAAGCAGCCCUUUGGAUUCCUGAAGUGACAUCGGAGACCUAAGGCAGGUCCAAGAUAAUAAAGCAUGGAGCAGAUGUAGGGAUCAAGCAGAGCCACAUUCCUGCAUGAGCCGGACUUCCAGAAGGUGCUUGGCUGAGCUGGAGGCUCUCGUCCCAUCAUCCUUUUCCUC
ensembl:lncRNA